UAUAUAUAUAGAGUUGAGCUAGAAUACUCUCAGAAGCAACAAGAGAGUGGUGCUUUUAAGUUUUUAACCAUUAGAAGAAGAGAUGUAGGGUUGAGAUGAUAAUGGUAGGUGGUGGUAGGUGGUAGUAGGUGGAAUAGUAUUUGAUCCAAGAGGUAUUAGUAAUUAAGGAGUAGAUCCAAGGGCUAGAAACUUAGAAGCACCAAUGGGUUGAUGCUUCUAAAAGUAUUCUAGCUCAAUUAUAUAUA
rnacentral:lncRNA from 1 species